rnacentral:rRNA from 1 species
UACGGGGGGGGCAAGCGUUGUUCGGAAUUACUGGGCGUAAAGGGCUCGUAGGCGGCCAACUAAGUCAGACGUGAAAUCCCUCGGCUUAACCGGGGAACUGCGUCUGAUACUGGAUGGCUUGAGUUUGGGAGAGGGAUGCGGAAUUCCAGGUGUAGCGGUGAAACGCGUAGAUAUCUGGAGGAACACCGGUGGCGAAGGCGGCAUCCUGGACCAACACUGACGCUGAGGAGCGAAAGCCAGGGGAGCAAACGGG